CAGAAAAUAGUUUAGUUUAGAAUUCUGUUUGGGAGCCAGAGGUGGGAGUUAAAAUCUCUCUUUUCU
rnacentral:tRNA from 1 species